GGGAAUAUUGGACAAUGGGCGCAAGCCUGAUCCAGUAAUGCCGCGUGUGUGAAGAAGGUCUUCGGAUUGUAAAGCACUUUCGGCAGGGACGAUGAUGACGGUACCUGUAGAAGAAGCCCCGGCCAACUUCGUGCCAGCAGCCGCGGUAAUACGAAGGGGGCUAGCGUUGCUCGGAAUGACUGGGCGUAAAGGGCGCGUAGGCGGCUUGUACAGUCAGAUGUGAAAUUCCCGGGCUUAACCUGGGGGCUGCAUUUGAUACGUGCGGGCUGGAGUGUGAAAGAGGGUCGUGGAAUUCCCAGUGUAGAGGUGAAAUUCGUAGAUAUUGGGAAGAACACCGGUGGCGAAGGCGGCGACCUGGUUCAUUACUGACGCUGAGGCGCGAAAGCGUGGGGAGCAAA
rnacentral:rRNA from 1 species